CGGUUAUACUAAAGAAUCUAGUUAUAUUUAUUUGGUAAAAAGAUAGUUAGGUGGAUAGAAUUUUUAAGUUUUAAUUAUAGUAUAGUACUAAGGUAAAAUUUAGAUUAUUUUAUUUUUAUAUAAGCUUAUUAUUGAUGCUAUGAAUGUUUUUAAAGAAACUAGGAUUAGAUACCCUAUUAUUUUGAAUUAUAAAUUGUUUUUCUACCAAAGUAUUAUGAAUGUGAAUUUAAAAUUUAAAGAACUUGGCGGUGUCUUAGACUACUUAGGGGAACCUGUUUUUUAAUCGAUAGUCCUCGUUUUACCUUACCUUUUUUUGUUUUCAGUUUGUAUACCGUCGUCGUCAGUUAACUUUAGAAAAAAUAGAAGUUGUCUUUUUAAAUUUUAUUUUUAGAUGUCAGAUCAAGGUGCAGCUUAUAAAUUGGUUAAUAUGGGUUACAAUUAUUUAUUUAUAAUAUGGAUGAUUUCAUGAAAUUGUUUUUUGAAAGAGGACUUAAAAGUAAUUUAAUUUAGAUAUAUUUAAUGAAUAUGGCUCUUAGAUGUGCACACAUCGCCCGUCAC
rnacentral:rRNA from 1 species